rnacentral:ncRNA from 1 species
UGGACUGUGCCAAAAAGAUAGUUUUUUCUAGGACGUAAGCGUCCGUCGUCAAAACUCCUAGAUGGCUGUGUCCG